AGUGAACGCUGGCGGUAGGCCUAACACAUGCAAGUCGAACGGCAGCACAGUAAGAGCUUGCUCUUACGGGUGGCGAGUGGCGGACGGGUGAGGAAUACAUCGGAAUCUACUUUUUCGUGGGGGAUAACGUAGGGAAACUUACGCUAAUACCGCAUACGACCUACGGGUGAAAGCAGGGGAUCUUCGUACCUUGCGCGAUUGAAUGAGCCGAUGUCGGAUUAGCUAGUUGGCGGGGUAAAGGCCCACCAAGGCGACGAUCCGUAGCUGGUCUGAGAGGAUGAUCAGCCACACUGGAACUGGGACACGGUCCAGACUCCUACGGGAGGCAGCAGUGGGGAAUAUUGGACAAUGGGCGCAAGCCUGAUCCAGCCAUACCGCGUGGGUGAAGAAGGCCUUCGGGUUGUAAAGCUCUUUUGUUGGGAAAGAAAAGCAGCAGGUUAAUACCCCGCUGUUCUGACGGUACCCAAAGAAUAAGCACCGGCUAACUUCGUG
rnacentral:rRNA from 1 species